rnacentral:rRNA from 1 species
UGGGGAAUAUUGCGCAAUGGGGGGAACCCUGACGCAGCCAUGCCGCGUGAAUGAAGAAGGCCUUCGGGUUGUAAAGUUCUUUCGGUAUUGAGGAAGGUUGAUGUGUUAAUAGCACAUCAAAUUGACGUUAAAUACAGAAGAAGCACCGGCUAACUCCGUGCCAGCAGCCGCGGUAAUACGGAGGGUGCGAGCGUUAAUCGGAAUAACUGGGCGUAAAGGGCACGCAGGCGGUUAUUUAAGUGAGGUGCGAAAGCCCCGGGCUUAACCUGGGAAUUGCAUUUCAGACUGGGUAACUAGAGUACUUUAGGGAGGGGUAGAAUUCCACGUGUAGCGGUGAAAUGCGUAGAGAUGUGGAGGAAUACCGAAGGCGAAGGCAGCCCCUUGGGAAUGUACUGACGCUCAUGUGCGAAAGCGUGGGGAGCAAACAGGAUUAGAUACCCUGGUAGUCCACGCUGUAAACGCUGUCGAUUUGGGGGUUGGGGUUUAACUCUGGCGCCCGUAGCUAACGUGAUAAAUCGACCGCCUGGGGAGUACGGCCGCAAGGUUA